AUGCCCGGGAGCUCCGAAUCUCGGGCUUUCCGCGCGGCCCUCCUGGGAGGGCCAGAUUCAAAGCUCCAAUUAUCCGCGCGAGGCUGGGAACUGCAUCAUCAGCAUCUCCCGCUAAGCCGGCGUUCGGGGGCGCUCCUCCGGCCGGAGUCGAUGCGCGGGACUCAGGAAGAGAGGCGCGCUCCAGGCGCGGGGGACCCAGCCGCCGGCGCACGGCGGCCCUUCGGGAAGGUAGGGAACAACCACGCUGGGGUCUCCCGCGGGGCGCUGUCAGCCGGAUCCCGCGGGGGGCGGGUCUGCACGCGGGGGCGCCUGUCCUGGGGACCUUUCCCGCCCAGGCAGGGAGCGCUCCCGGCGCCCUGCCACCGCCUGCGGGGACCGAGCGCCGCCACGCGAGGGGGCGGCGCCCCCGUGCUAGCCCCGAGACUGGGACCCGGACUGUCUGCUGCCGGUUGGGGCUCCUUCUGCCCAGCACCGCGCCCCUUAGGCAGAAGGCGGCCCAAGAGCCCAGAAUCCUCCAAGAUGCCCCCUGCCCGCCCCAAGAUCCGGCUACGGGGACACCAGCCAGCAACCUGCCAGUGCGCCCCGUACCGUGGCCUCGUCUCUGGCGCGCAAGACCCGGGAGAACGCCCCCAUCCCAACCCAACUCCCCAGCCCUGCUCGCCUGGUACCCGCCUUUCCAGUCUCCCNNNNNNNNNNNNNNNNNNNNNNNNNNNUCUCCUGCCGCUGGCCCUUCGUCAAAGCUCUCUCCACACACACCCCCAGCCAGACCCUCAGAGGCUGGGUCCACCUCCCCGCUGCGAUCCUCAUCCCCAGCCUGGUCAAGCCAAAGGGCGCAGGGCAGCCGGCGAUGCCGCCGGGGAACUCACCCGCUCUCCCGAGCCCUGCCCCGGGCGGCUCCCGGCCCUGGCUCGGUCCUUCAGUCCCCGAGCCGCAGCUGCCGGUGCGGCGACAGAAGCCAGCUCUGCACGGCCGCGGGCCUCCGCGCCGCCCCUCGGCUCCUCCCCCGAGGCGGGGCCUGAGCUCGCGGGAAGGGGGUGGGCAUCCUCUCGGCUCGACCUGGACGGCACGCGAGCUCCCGGCAAGGGUCUCUCAUCCCCCUCCACCACCACCUCUGAGCAGCUAGAAAUUGAAAGCAGAAUGUUUCCAUUGAUUUAUCCUGAAGAGCUGUAGGCUGAAAGAGCAGAAGUCCGUCUCUCCCAGGCUUGCAUAGAACUUGGAGCCUGCCUUCCUAAAAUGAUGCCUUGAGUAUGGGCCCAGAUCCCAGUGCUGUGCUGUUCAUUUACACCAUUCAUAACAUUUUGAUAUUGAAGAUAAGUAUACUCAGAAUUGGGUGGAAGACUCAUACUUCCUGAUUUCAAAAUUUACCACAAGGCUACAAUAAUCAAGACUGCAGUACGGUAUAAGGAUAGAUGGGGAUCAAUGGAAUAAAACAGAUUCCAGCUAAACCCCUUUUAGGACCAAUUGCUUUUCAAUGAGUGACAAGACAAUUUAAAGAAUCAUCUUUUCAACUAAUGGUGCUGGAUGACUGGACUUCCAUAUGCCAAUAAAUAAAUAAAUAAAUAAAUGAGGUUGGACCCCCUACCUCACACCAUACACAGAAAUUAACUCAAAACGAUAAGGCUGCAUCGUAAGAGCUAAAACUAUGAAACUCAGAGGAAAACAUAGACAUAAGUCAUGACCUUGGAUUAAGGCUCACAAUGGACGUGAAUCUGAGUGAACUCCAGAAGUUGAUGAUGGACAGGGAGGCCUGGCGUGCUGCANNNNNNNNNNNNNNNNAGAGUCGGACACAACUGAGCGACUGAACUGACUGACUGACUGACUGACUGGAUUAAGCAGUGUUUCUUAGCUAUGGCACCUCAAGCAGAAGCAACAAAGGAAAAAAGAGACAAUUUGGACUUGACUAAAAUUAAAAUGCUUUAUAGAGGACACCAUCAAGAAAGUGAAAAGAUAACUGUAAUGGGCUGAAUUGUAUUCCCCCCAAAUUCACAUGCUGAAGUCCUAAUCUCUAGUAUCUCAGACUGUGACUGUGUUUGGAGAUAAGGUCUUUGAAGAGAUGAUUGUCAAGCUAAGGCCCUUAAGGUGGGGCCCUGAUCCAAUAUAGCUAGUGUCCUCAGAAGAGGAAGAGACACCAAGGGAUACUUGCACAGAGGAAAGGCCACGUGAGGGCCCAGGGAGAAGAUGGUCAUCUCCGAGUCCAAGAGAGAGGCCUCGGGAGAAACCAGAUCUGCAGACACCUUGAUCUUGGACUUCUAGCCUCCAGAACUGUGAGAAAGAAAUUUCUGUUGUUUAAGCCACCCGGUUGUGACAUUUUGAUAUGGCAGCCUUAGCAAACAAAUACAAGAACCCACAGAACCCACAGAAUGAGGGGAAAUAUUUGCAAAGCACAUAUCUGAUAAGGGGCUUGUAUCUAGAAUAUAUAAGGAACUCUUACAACUCAGUAAUAGGCAAAUAACAAAAAAUGAACAAGGAGUGAGAAUAGACAUUUCUCCAAAGAAAAUGUGCAAAUGGCCAAUAAGCACAUGAGAAAAUGCUCAAUAUCAUUAGCCAUCAAGGAAAUGCAAUGCAAAACCCCAAUGCGGGGACUUCCCUGGUUGUCCAGUGGCUUAAGACUCUGCACUCCCAAUGCAGGGGCCGUAGGUUUGAUUCCUGAUCAGGAAACUAGAUCCUGCAUGCCACAAUUCAAGAUCCCACUCAAGGUUCCACAGGUUGCAACUAAAGACACAGGCACAGCCAAAAAAAAAAAAAAAAAAACCCCACAAUGAGGGGAUUCCCUGGCAGUCUAGUGGUUAGGACUUGGUGAUUCUACUGCUGGGGGCAGGUUCAAUCACUCUUCAGGGAACUAAGGUACCACAAGCUACCAGGCCAAAAACAAACGAAAACACCACAAUGAGAUAUACUUUCAAACUUACCAGGAUGGCUAUGAUCAAAAAGACAGAUAAUAACGAAUGUUGACAAAGAUGUGGAGAAAUUGGAAAUUUUAUGCAUUGCUGGUGGGAGUGUAAAAUGGUAUAGCCCCUUUGAAAAACAGUCUGGCAGUUCCCUAAAAUGUUAAACAUAGAGUUGCCGGAUGACCCAGCAAUCCCACUCCUAGGUGUAUACCCAAGAGAAGUAAAAACAAAUGUCCACACAAACUUGUACAUAAAGGUUCAUGGCAGCGUUAUUCAUUAUAGCCAAGAAGGGGAGACAACCCAAAUCUCUAUCAAAUGAUGAAUGGAUCUGGAAAACGUAGUGUAUCCAUACAAUGCAGUGUGAUUUGAUAGUCGAAAGGUAUGCAGGAUGAAUACAUGCCACAACAUGAACCUUGAA
rnacentral:lncRNA from 1 species